rnacentral:misc_RNA from 1 species
GAUGAAGAACGCAGCGAAAUGCGAUAAGUAGUGUGAAUUGCAGAAUUCAGUGAAUCAUCGAAUCUUUGAACGCACAUUGCGCCCUUUGGUAUUCCAAAGGGCAUGCCUGUUCGAGCGUCAUUUGUACCCUCAAGCUUUGCUUGGUGUUGGGCGUCUUGUCUCCAGUUCGCUGGAGACUCGCCUUAAAGUAAUUGGCAGCCGGCCUACUGGUUUCGGAGCGCAGCACAAGUCGCGCUCUCUUCCAGCCAAGGUCAGCAUCCACAAAGCCUUUUUUCAACUUUUGACCUCGGAUCAGGUAGGGAUACCCGCUGAACUUAAGCAUAUCAAAAGCGGAGGA